rnacentral:tRNA from 1 species
AGGAUAAUAGUUAAAUUUAACAUUUAAAUUGCAAUUAAAAAAUAUUGAUUAAUCAAUUUAUCUUA